rnacentral:rRNA from 1 species
GCAACGGAUAUCUCGGCUCUCGCAUCGAUGAAGAACGUAGCGAAAUGCGAUACCUGGUGUGAAUUGCAGAAUCCCGCGAACCAUCGAGUCUUUGAACGCAAGUUGCGCCCGAGGCCACUCGGCCGAGGGCACGCCUGCCUGGCGGUCA